ACGGGAGGCAGCAGUGGGGAAUAUUGCACAAUGGGCGCAAGCCUGAUGCAGCCAUGCCGCGUGUAUGAAGAAGGCCUUCGGGUUGUAAAGUACUUUUCAGCAGUGAGGAAGGUGGAGUCGUUAAUAGCGGCCUCAUUUGACGUUAGCUGCAGAAGAAGCACCGGCUAACUCCGUGCCAGCAGCCGCGGUAAUACGGAGGGUGCGAGCGUUAAUCGGAAUUACUGGGCGUAAAGCGCAUGCAGGUGGUUUGUUAAGUCAGAUGUGAAAGCCCGGGGCUCAACCUCGGAAUUGCAUUUAGAAACUGGCAGACUAGAGUACUGUAGAGGGGGUAGAAUUUCAGGUGUAGCGGUGAAAAUGCGUAGAGAUCUGAAGGAAUACCGGUGGCGAAGGCGGCCCCCUGGACAGAUACUGACACUCAGAUGCGAAAGCGUGGGGAGCAAACAGGAUUAGAUACCCUGGUAG
rnacentral:rRNA from 1 species